UAACACGUGGUCAACCUUCCCUUUAGUGGGGGAUAACUAGCCGAAAGGUUAGCUAAUACCGCAUACGAUUUAUGAAUGGCAUCAUUUAUAAAUGAAAGUAGCAAUACGCUAAAGGAUGGGACCGCGUCCCAUUAGCUAGAUGGUGGGGUAAUGGCCUACCAUGGCUCCGAUGGGUAGCUGGUUUGAGAGAGCGACCAGCCACACUGAGACUGAGAAACGGCCCAG
rnacentral:rRNA from 1 species